GCUAGAGAGUUGCUUGAUGAAAUGCCACAACUAGAUUGGUCGGUCUUAGAAUGCUGUGAAGUUUCAAUUCCAUGAAUGUUCCUGAAGUUUGAAGUAACAAAGGUUUGAAUUCUGUGAAUUGUUCAUGGAGAUUGAAGCUCCAGUAAAUUUUCAUACUUGCUCUUUUUGGCUCUAUCCAUAGAAAUGCAUUUGCUGGACAACCACUGAUAUAUUUAAGAGUAAUAAAAUGUAAGAUUCCAAUUAUUCGGGUGAAUAAGUACAUUGAAACAAAGGGAUUAGAGUAUUCCUAUUUGUUUGCAACACUCAAUUGCUCCAUCAAACAUUUUUUCAAGACCAUACUUGUACUUGAAUCCAGUCUCCAAAAGCUUUUUUGGUGAAAGGCUAGGUAUUUUAAGUUCUUCACUGCUUGUCCCUCUGUACCUGCACAAAAAAACAGUACUUCAAUUAUUUUCUUUCACC
rnacentral:lncRNA from 1 species